GAAACUUGGAAAUAAAAUUAACUGAAACAGAUCUAUGAGGUACUAUAUGGAACCGGUGGUUAAGAUCCUGGCAAAGGAGUGGGCUGAUUUUUGUAUAGCCGGGUGACGUAUGCAUUUACUACACUCUUUAUUUUGACGUUUGUUUUUGUUUCUAUUUUGAUUUUUUUUUAGUUCUUUUUUCCUUUGAUUUUUCAUCUUUUUCAGACCUUAGCUGUCUCACUCUAUAUAGCUAAAUUUAUUUACCUAAUGAAUGAAGCUGAUAACGUGCUAUCUUUCUCUCUAAAAAAAAAAAAAAUCCUCAUUACCACUAAUUACUGUUAGAUGUAUGCCCUAGAAGCCAACCAGGCCGACACAUAUAUUCUUUCUAGGACAUAAAUUUGUAUUUGACUUUAAAAUAUUAUGAAUAAAUUUGGGUUAUUAUUUUCAUUCAUGUUGUGUAUGUGUCCAUGAAUCGUCCAAGAAAUUAAUAAGAUGAUGACAUAUAUUCUCAAGAGUUGAGAAUUUGAGACAUGUGUCAUUGGUGNAUCAUCAAAUUGAGGCAAGGAUUUAUCCGCGAAAAAGGUAAUGAUUCGAUCUUACUUUUCUCCUUUAAUCUUAAAGAACAUGAGGGAUCCUAAUUGUGUGGUUUUGAGAUUUGAUCUCGAGAGUUUUUCAAAAAUCAAAUUUGUUUGAUUUCUUUUUCCGCUGCGUUUUUACCGUACGUAAUUUUCUAACAAUUACAUGAAUCAGUCAAAUUCUUUUCUGACCAUCGUAUACACAAAUACAUAUAUACCACUUUUCUCCAAUCGUGGAAAAUAUAGAAUUUUUACAAAUUGAAAUAUUAAUUUAUAUUU
rnacentral:lncRNA from 1 species